AUUUACGUCUUUUUAAGACUCCAAGAAAGCUGGAAGCCGCAUAGACUUGUAGGUGGAAAAAUGAAAAUAUUUCAAUUAAAAACGCGCAAUGGCUUGGCGAUUUAUUGAACGACAACAAAAUUGUAGUAGGCUGUGGUAAAACCCAUUGUCGUUUGCUCAUAAGUCUUUCACUCUUCUCCAACGGCUCAGCACAAAAGUCCCUUUUUUAUUUAUGCAAGUCGUUAAAAAAACUUUUUUUUUUCUGAUGAUUCCCGAAAAAGCAUUUAUUUUUUUUUCAUUUCCAACGAUUUUGUGGGAGGGAGCUGAGCUGCGUCAAUGGUUUUAUUUCUGGGAACUGUUCGUUCUUCACAUCCUCUAAUCAAUUUUGCUCCUUAUAGACGCCAAAUAUCAGUCCGCAGCCGUGCAAUUUCACUUCCCGCAAAUGGGUUCUUUCCUUUCAGACGAAUCUUCCAGGCUUGCCUUCAAUCUAAUUAUGCAAAAGGGAAUGCUGGAGUGGAGUUACCUGCUGACCAAUCAGAAAUCAUAUUCCUAGGUACGGGAACUAGCGAAGGUAUUCCUCGCGUGAGCUGUUUGACCAAUCCUCUUAAGACAUGCGAGGUUUGCUCAAAAGCUGCAGAACCAGGUAACAAAAACAAGAGACUUAACACAAGCAUCCUUAUCCGUUACCGUCCAUCGUCCGAGAGAUCUAACAACAUUCUUAUAGAUGCUGGAAAGUUUUUUUACCACAGUGCUCUCCGAUGGUUUCCUGCCUAUGGGAUAAGAACAAUUGAUGCAGUUAUAAUUACACAUUCUCAUGCUGAUGCAGUUGGAGGCCUUGAUGAUCUUCGUGAUUGGACCAACAAUGUCCAGCCCUAUGUUCCAAUAUACGUGGCCCCACGCGAUUUUGAGGUAAUGAAGAAAACUCAUUACUAUUUAGUGGAUACGAGUGUGAUUUUACCUGGUGCUGCUGUAUCAGAUUUGCAAUUCAAUAUUAUACAUAAGGAUCCAUUCACUGUACAUGGGUUGAAGAUUACCCCUUUACCUGUGUGGCAUGGUCAGGGUUACCGUUCCCUUGGUUUUCGUUUUGGUGAUAUUUGUUACAUUAGUGAUGUUAGUGAAAUACCUGAAGAAACUUAUCCACUCCUAAAGGAUUGUGAAACCCUGAUUCUGGAUGCUUUACGUCCAGAUCGGUCUUCUUCAACGCAUUUUGGACUUCCAAAGGCUUUAGAGGAAGUUCGGAAAAUUCAACCAAAAAGAACACUGUUCACCGGUAUGUUUGUGCCCACUGUGAUGUAACUAUUGUUCCAAGGAAAUUCGUUUUCUAUAUGGUUUUACACCUUUAGUUACCAAUCAAACAUAGCAGGUAUGAUGCAUUUGAUGGAUCAUGAGAAAGUGAAUAAUUAUCUGCUGAAAUUGAUGGAGACAGAGGGUCUAGAUGCACAAUUGAGUUACGAUGGUCUUCGUUUACCAGUAACUCUCUAGCCAUUAAACACUCUGGCAUUUUCUCUUGAAUUCAACUGUCAAUUCUCCCCUCAAAGUUCUUGCAGAUUUUCGGAUAACUUGUCCUGCCGUUAUUCCUUUUACUGAAAUUGUAAUUUUUGCAAACAAGAUAGACAAACAACUGUUGGAAAGUGUUAAUUGAUACUCCUGAGAACGAUUGAAAACGGUUUGAUUUGUUUGCAUUGCACCAAUUUGGUAAUGCUAUCAUAUAUACAGUUUUAGAAAACUGGCCUUGAAGGGUGAUUGAGAAUCUGAGGUCCCUUUGUUAAUAAAUUCAUAA